rnacentral:rRNA from 1 species
ACUCAAAGGAAUAGACGGGGGCCCGCACAAGCGGUGGAGCAUGUGGUUUAAUUCGAUGCAACGCGAAGAACCUUACCUACCUUUGAAUCCACGGAAUUUUACAGAAAUGUAGAAGUGCCUUCGGGAACCGUGAGACAGGUGCUGCAUGGCUGUCGUCAGCUCGUGUCGUGAGAUGUUGGGUUAAGUCCCGUAACGAGCGCAACCCUUGUCCUUAGUUACCAACGAGUUAUGUCGGGGACUUUAAGGAGACUGCUGGUGAUAAACCGGAGGAAGGUGGGGAUGACGUCAAGUCCUCAUGGCCCUUACAGGUAGGGCUACACACGUGCUACAAUGGGCGGUACAAAGGGAAGCCAACUCGCGAGGGGGAGCUAAUCUCAAAAAGCCGUUCGUAGUCCGGAUUGGAGUCUGAAACUCGACUCCAUGAAGCUGGAAUCGCUAGUAAUCGCGGAUCAGCACGCCGCGGUGAAUACGUUCCCGGGCCUUGUACACACCGCCCGU